ACGGAAGGCUGGAGGAAGUCUGCAAGCCAGGAGCCAUCUGUGGAACAAAAUAAACAGUCAACGUUUCAGGAUGAGACCCUUCGUGGGCCGGCAUUUAUGGCCCAUCCCCAACAAACCCUGGGAAAAUGGAGGUGAUCUGUCUUUUUGAACCGCUGCAAUUGUUCUAGUGAAGAUCAGAUCAUGACACAGUGAAUUGAGGUAGAACAAGUGUGUUGUCCACUGGUCCUGUUUACAGUCACUGUUCUAUAGAUUUGCCAAG